rnacentral:rRNA from 1 species
UACGAAGGGGGCUAGCGUUGCUCGGAAUCACUGGGCGUAAAGCGUACGUAGGCGGAUUGUUAAGUCAGGGGGUGAAAUCCUGGAGCUCAACUCCAGAACUGCCUUUGAUACUGGCGAUCUUGAGUCCGGGAGAGGUGAGUGGAACUGCGAGUGUAGAGGUGAAAUUCGUAGAUAUUCGCAAGAACACCAGUGGCGAAGGCGGCUCACUGGCCCGGUACUGACGCUGAGGUGCGAAAGCGUGGGGAGCAAACAGGG